rnacentral:lncRNA from 1 species
GUAGUUAGGUGUGAAUUUUCGAGACCUCUGGCACCGUUCUAAGAUGGGUCCUCUCUUCGUAGGCUAAUGCGUUGGCCCUUUUUGACCCGUUUUGGGGCGAAAACAAAAACUGACUCCCGGGCAUAUUUUUUCGGCCUUUAUGGGCAAAGAACUUUAAUGCCGCUCAGAAUGAGGCCACCCAGUAGUUAGGUGUGAAUUUUUGAGACCUCUGGCACCGUUCUAAGAUGGGUCCUCUCUUCGUAGGCUAAUGCAUUGGCCCUUUUUGACCCGUUUUGGGGCGAAAACAAAAACUGACUCCCGGGCAUAUUUUUUUCGGCCUUUAUGGGCAAAGAACUUUAAUGCCGCUCAGAAUGAGGCCACCCAGUAGUUAGGUGUGAAUUUUCGAGACCUCUGCACGUUCUAAGAUGGGUCCUCUCUUCGUAGGCUAAUGCGUUGGCCCUUUUUGACCCGUUUUGGAACGAAAACAAAAACUGACUCCCGGGCAUAUUUUUUUCGGCCUUUAUGGGCAAAGAACUUUAAUGCCGCUCAGAAUGAGGCCACCCAGUAGUUAGGUGUGAAUUUUCGAGACCUCUGGCACCGUUCUAAGAUGGGUCCUCUCUUCGUAGGCUAAUGCGUUGGCCCUUUUUGACCCGUUUUGGGCGAAAACAAAAACGGACUCCCGGGCAUAUUUUUUUCGGCUUUUAUGGGCAAAGAACUUUAAUGCCGCUCAGAAUGAGGCCACCCAGUAGUUAGGUGUGAAUUUUCGAGACCUCUGGCACCGUUCUAAGAUGGGUCCUCUCUUCGUAGGUUAAUGCGUUGGCCCUUUUUGACCCGUUUUGGAACGAAAACAAAAACUGACUCCGCGGCAUAUUUUUUUCGGCCUUUAUGGGCAAAGAACUUUAAUGCCGCUCAGAAUGAGGCCACCCAGUAGUUAGGUGUGAAUUUUCGAGACCUCUGGCACCGUUCUAAGAUGGGUCCUCUCUUCGUAGGCUAAUGCGUUGGCCCUUUUUGACCCGUUUUGGGGCGAAAACAAAAACUGACUCCGGGCAUAUUUUUUUCGGCCUUUAUGGGCAAAGAACUUUAAUGCCGCUCAGAAUGAGGCCACCCAGUAGUUAGGUGUGAAUUUUCGAGACCUCUGGCACCGUUCUAUGAUGGGUCCUCUCUUCGUAGGCUAAUGCAUUGGCCCGUUUUGGGGCCAAAACAAAAACUGACUCCCGGCAUACUUUUUUCGGCCUUUAUGGGCAAGAACUUUAAUGCCGCUCAGAAUGAGGCCACCAGUAGUUAGGUGUGAAUUUUCGAGACCUCUGGCACCGUUCUAAGAUGGGUCCUCUCUUCGUAGGCUAAUGCAUUGGCCCUUUUCGACCCGUUUUGGGGCGAAAACAAAAACUGACUCCCGGGCAUAUUUUUUUCGGCCUUUAUGGGCAAAGAACUUUAAUGCCGCUCAGAAUGAGGCCACCCAGUAGUUAGGUGUGAAUUUUCGAGACCUCUGGCACCGUUCUAAGAUGGGUCCUCUCUUUCUAGGCUAAUGCAUUGGCCCUUUUCGACCCGUUUUUGGGCGAAAACAAAAACUGACUCCCGGGCAUAUCUUUUUCGGCCUUGAUGGGCAAAGAACUUUAAUGCCGCUCAGAAUGAGGCCACCCAGUAGUUAGGUGUGAAUUUUCGAGACCUCUGGCACCGUUCUAAGAUGGGUCCUCUCUUCGUAGGCUAAUGCGUUGGCCUUUUUGACCCGUUUUGGAACGAAAACAAAAACUGACUCCCGGCAUAUUUUUUUUCGGCUUUAUGGGCAAAGAACUUUAAUGCCGCUCAGAAUGAGGCACCCAGUAGUUAGGUGUGAAUUUUCGAGACCUCUGGCACCGUUCUAAGAUGGGUCCUCUCUUCGUAGGCUAAUGCGUUGGCCCUUUUUGACCCGUUUUGGGGCGAAAACAAAAACUGACUCCCGGGCAUAUUUUUUUCGGCCUUUAUGGGCAAAGAACUUUAAUGCGCUCAGAAUGAGGCCACCCAAUAGUUAGGUGUGAAUUUUCGAGACCUCUGGCACCGUUCUAAGAUGGGUCUCUUCUUCGUAGGCUAAUGCAUUGGCCCUUUUCGACCCGUUUUGGGGCGAAAACAAAAACUGACUCCCGGGCAUAUUUUUUUCGGCCUUUAUGGGCAAAGAACUUUAAUGGCGCUCAGAAUGAGGCCACCCAGUAGUUAGGUGUGAAUUUUCGAGACCUCUGGCACCGUUCUAAGAUGGGUCCUCUCUUCGUAGGCUAAUGCAUUGGCCCUUUUCGACCCGUUUUGGGGCGAAAACAAAAACUGACUCCGGGCAUAUUUUUUUCGGCCUUUAUGGGCAAAGAACUUUAAUGCCGCUCAGAAUGAGGCCACCAGUAGUUAGGUGUGAAUUUUCGAGACCUCUGGCACCGUUCUAAGAUGGGUCCUCUCUUUGUAGGCUAAUGCAUUGGCUCCUUUCGACCCGUUUUGGGGCGAAAACAAAACCUGACUCCCGGGCAUAUUUUUUUCGGCUUAAUGGGCAAAGAACUUUAAUGCCGCUCAGAAUGAGGCACCCAGUAGUUAGGUGUGAAUUUUCGAGACCUCUGCACCGUUCUAAGAUGGGUCCUCUCUUCGUAGGCUAAUGCGUUGGCCCUUUUUGACCCGUUUUGGAACGAAAACAAAAACUGACUCCCGGGCAUAUUUUUUUCGGCCUUUAUGGGCAAAGAACUUUGAAUGCCGCUCAGAAUGAGGCCACCCAGUAGUUAGGUGUGAAUUUUCGGAGACCCUUCUUGGCACCCGUUCUAAGAUGGUUUCGUAGGCUAAUGCAUUGGCCCUUUUUGACCCGUUUUGGGGCGAAAACAAAAACUGACUCCCGGGCAUAUUUUUUUCGGCCUUUAUGGGCAGAGAACUUUAAUACCGCUCAAAAUGAGGCCACCCAGUAGUUAGGUGUGAAUUUUCGAGACCUUUGGCACCGUUCUAAGAUGGGUCCUCUCUUCGUAGGCUAAUGCAUUGGCCCUUUUUGACCCGUUUUGGGGCGAAAACAAAAACUGACUCCCGGGCAUAUUUUUUUCGGCCUUUAUGGGCAGAGAACUUUAAUACCGCUCAAAAUGAGGCCACCCAGUAGUUAGGUGUGAAUUUUCGAGACCUUUGGCACCGUUCUAAGAUGGGUCCUCUCUUCGUAGGCUAAUGCAUUGGCCCUUUUUGACCCGUUUUGGGGCGAAAACAAAAACUGACUCCCGGGCAUAUUUUUUUCGGCCUUUAUGGGCAGAGAACUUUAAUACCGCUCAAAAUGAGGCCACCCAGUAGUUAGGUGUGAAUUUUCGAGACCUUUGGCACCGUUCUAAGAUGGGUCCUCUCUUCGUAGGCUAAUGCAUUGGCCCUUUUUGACCCGUUUUGGGGCGAAAACAAAAACUGACUCCCGGGCAUAUUUUUUUCGGCCUUUAUGGGCAGAGAACUUUAAUACCGCUCGAAAUGAGGCCACCCAGUAGUUAGGUGUGAAUUUUCGAGACCUUUGGCACCGUUCUAAGAUGGGUCCUCUCUUCGUAGGCUAAUGCAUUGGCCCUUUUUGACCCGUUUUGGGGCGAAAACAAAAACUGACUCCCGGGCAUAUUUUUUUCGGCCUUUAUGGGCAGAGAACUUUAAUACCGCUCAAAAUGAGGCCACCCAGUAGUUAGGUGUGAAUUUUCGAGACCUUUGGCACCGUUCUAAGAUGGGUCCUCUCUUCGUAGGCUAAUGCAUUGGCCCUUUUUGACCCGUUUUGGGCGAAAACAAAAACUGACUCCCGGGCAUAUUUUUUUCGGCCUUUAUGGGCAGAGAACUUUAAUACCGCUCAAAAUGAGGCCACCCAGUAGUUAGGUGUGAAUUUUCGAGACCUUUGGCACCGUUCUAAGAUGGGUCCUCUCUUCGUAGGCUAAUGCAUUGGCCCUUUUUGACCCGUUUUGGGGCGAAAACAAAAACUGACUCCCGGGCAUAUUUUUUUCGGCCUUUAUGGGCAGAGAACUUUAAUACCGCUCAAAAUGAGGCCACCCAGUAGUUAGGUGUGAAUUUUCGAGACCUUUGGCACCGUUCUAAGAUGGGUCCUCUCUUCGUAGGCUAAUGCAUUGGCCCUUUUUGGGGCGAAAACAAAAACUGACUCCCGGGCAUAUUUUUUUCGGCCUUUAUGGGCAGAGAACUUUAAUACCGCUCAAAAUGAGGCCACCCAGUAGUUAGGUGUGAAUUUUCGAGACCUUUGGCACCGUUCUAAGAUGGGUCCUCUCUUCGUAGGCUAAUGCAUUGGCCCUUUUUGACCCGUUUUGGGGCGAAAACAAAAACUGACUCCCGGCAUAUUUUUUUCGGCCUUUAUGGGCAGAGAACUUUAAUACCGCUCAAAAUGAGGCCACCCAGUAGUUAGGUGUGAAUUUUCGAGACCUUUGGCACCGUUCUAAGAUGGGUCCUCUCUUCGUAGGCUAAUGCAUUGGCCCUUUUUGACCCGUUUUGGCGAAAACAAAAACUGACUCCCGGGCAUAUUUUUUUCGGCCUUUAUGGGCAGAGAACUUUAAUACCGCUCGAAAUGAGGCCACCCAGUAGUUAGGUGUGAAUUUUCGAGACCUUUGGCACCGUUCUAAGAUGGGUCCUCUCUUCGUAGGCUAAUGCAUUGGCCCUUUUUGACCCGUUUUGGCGAAAACAAAAACUGACUCCCGGGCAUAUUUUUUUCGGCCUUUAUGGGCAGAGAACUUUAAUACCGCUCAAAAUGAGGCCACCCAGUAGUUAGGUGUGAAUUUUCG